CAGGGCACAGCUCGGCGGUAGAGCACAUGCUUGGCAUGCAUGAGGUCCUGGGUUCAGUCCCCAGUGCCCUCA
rnacentral:tRNA from 1 species